ACGCACGCUGGCGGCGUGCUUCACCCAUGCCAGUCGCACGGAAAGGCCCUGCUUUUGUGGGGUGCUCGAGUGGCGAACGGGUGAGUAACACGUGAGUAACCUGCCCUUGACUUUGGGAUAACUUCAGGAAACUGGGGCUAAUACCGGAUAGGAGCUCCUGCUGCAUGGUGGGGGUUGGAAAGUUUCGGCGGUUGGAGAUGGACUCGCGGCUUAUCAGCUUGUUGGUGGGGUAGUGGCUUACCAAGGCUUUGACGGGUAGCCGGCCUGAGAGGGUGACCGGCCACAUUGGGACUGAGAUACGGCCCAGACUCCUACGGGAGGCAGCAGUGGGGAAUAUUGCACAAUGGGCGGAAGCCUGAUGCAGCAACGCCGCGUGCGGGAUGACGGCCUUCGGGUUGUAAACCGCUUUCGCCUGUGACGAAGCGUGAGUGACGGUAAUGGGUAAAGAAGCACCGGCUAACUACGUG
rnacentral:rRNA from 1 species